UACGAAGGGGGCUAGCGUUGUUCGGAAUUACUGGGCGUAAAGCGCACGUAGGCGGAUAUUUAAGUCAGGGGUGAAAUCCCAGAGCUCAACUCUGGAACUGCCUUUGAUACUGGGUAUCUUGAGUAUGGAAGAGGUAAGUGGAAUUGCGAGUGUAGAGGUGAAAUUCGUAGAUAUUCGCAGGAACACCAGUGGCGAAGGCGACUCGCUGGACAAGUAUUGACGCUGAGGUGCGAAAGCGUGGGGAGCAAACAGG
rnacentral:rRNA from 1 species